UCUUUUCACUCCACUGUCAUGGAAGGCGCCUAUCGGAAGAGGAGGUUUUUAUACCGUGAGACUCGCGGUGCGGCAGCGUGGAGACCUGUCGUAAUGCGGACCGUCCCCUGAGCGGACGGCUGUGAGUUGACCCUGCGUGGGCGGGAUCAUCAGAGUCAGGCUUAUG
rnacentral:ncRNA from 1 species